rnacentral:lncRNA from 1 species
UACUCUCCAUAGUUUUUGGGUAUAGAAAAUUCUUGCACAUCUUGAUAUAUGGUGAUGAUUCAACAGUUGCCUCGAGGGCUGAUGGUUCUGAUACAUCGUGUUGACAGUAAAUCCCACUUCUUUUGAUAGUAGGUUCUAUGCAUCGAACUUGUUCAUUCUUUAAAGUGCCCAUCAGAUAACUAUCACGUGUCGAUUAACGGCGACUGAGUUUUAUCAUAUUGAAAACUAUGUAAAAUGUCCACUAGUCGAAUGCAUCGAACAUGUUUGUUCCAACAAAUUCAUUAUAGAUCAAAAAGAGAAUUUCUUUUUGUACAAUGUUAUACUUAACAUGAGAUUUGCUUUUCACCUUUAAUUAAACCCAGCAUUAGGUUAACUACUAAUUGAGCUUCCUUGUGGCCUCACCAUUGGAGGCUAAACCCAAAAUGAGCUUUAAAAUAUGAAAGCAAACAUAAGUUCCCACACCAAAAAGGAUAACUAGCUCACUAGGAACUAGAGAUUGAGUUAUGUGUAUAUAUAAAGAGAGCAGGGCCGUUGUGCUCUUAGGAGCAGGGAGACAUCCGUACUCUUAAGCCGUUUUUUAUGACGGAAUUCUCAAAUCGACAAUCGGUUUCGUUAGACUUGAUCUAACGUAUUUAGAUUAUCUAGAAAAUAAAUUUUGAGGUUUUUCAAUAUCGUUUAUCUAGCAAUCAAAAGGGUUCAAAAUCAAUAAUUUUUAAUGGUGGAUGUUUGCCGUUUUCAAGUUUAACGGUGUAGAAUUAUCCAAAUCAGAUAAAAUUUUGAUAGAAAAAUUUUUAUACUAUCUACAGCAAGAUCACUAUCUUUGAUCGAAAAUUUUAGUGCUAUAUCAUAACUUUUUGUGAGAUUUUUAUUCGUAGCCGUUGAUUUUGAUCCAUUUUGAUCACUAGUUAAAUAAUAUCGAAAAAUUACAAAAUAAUAUGCUAGAUCAAAUUUAACAAAAUCGAUCGUCGAUUCAAAAUUUUCAUCAUCAAAAACGACUUAUAAGCAGCGCAGCAGCCCUGCUCUCUCUCUUUCUAUCUAUACUAUAUAUAAAAACACGUAUUUCAAAUUUCGGUCUGUCGACAGACCCAUUUUUUGGCGGGAAAAAAAAAAUUCCUCUUUCCUUACGUAAAAUAAAUAAUAGAAUUAAAAAAACUUUUAUUUUCUCUUUAUUUCUACAACAGAAAAAAAUUUAUACUUAUCCAAAUUUUUACCAAUUUGAGAAUAUCUACUGUGAAUUUUUAUUUAAUUCGUUUUUAUCUCUAACUAUAAUAUAAUAUCUAUACUAUCUAUGAGGCAUUUCAAAUUUCUAUACGUCAGAAGACCCAUUUUUAGGCGGAAAAAAAAUUUGAUUUCUCUUUCUUUAUGUAAAAUAAAUAACAUAAUAAAACAAACUUUUAAUUUAUCUUUACCUCUAAAAUAAAAAAAUAUAUAUUUAUCCAAAUUUUUGCCAGAAUAUCAAUAUGCUCUAUCCAUCUAUUUUACAUUAAAAUUUAAAUUUGAGUUUAAAUCAUAAAUUAAAUUUAAUUUUUGAUUUUGGAUAUCAAAUAUAUCAAUCUAUUUUAUAU